rnacentral:sRNA from 1 species
AAGAAGAAGAAAAAAAC